rnacentral:rRNA from 1 species
GAUGAACGCUGGCGGCGUGCCUAACACAUGCAAGUCGAGCGAAAAGACCAGGAGCUUGCUCCCCCGACGUUAGCGGCGGACGGGUGAGUAACACGUGGAUAACCUACCUCUCCGACUGGGAUAACUUCGCGAAACCGGAGCUAAUACCGGAAAAUAUAUUGAACCGGAUGGUUCAAUCGUGAAAGAAGGUUUUGCUGUCACUUAUAGCUGGAUCCGCGCCGCAUUCGCUAGUUGGUAAGGUAACGGCUUACCAAGGCAGCGAUGCGAAGCCGACCUCAGAGCGUGGUCGCCCAGACUGGAUCUGAGACUGGGUCCCGACUCUGGCACUGGGCCGCAGUAGGGACUCUUCCGCGAGGGACGAGUGCCGAACGGUGCAACGCGGGGGGAGGCAUGAAGGUCUUCUGAUCGUUGAGCUCUGUUAGUAGGAGAGAAGAAAUGUGUAAUUAACUGUGCACGUCUUGACGGUACCGGGACAGAAAGCCACGGCUAACUACGUG